rnacentral:rRNA from 1 species
CACGUAGGGUGCGAGCGUUGUCCGGAAUUAUUGGGCGUAAAGAGCUCGUAGGCGGUGUGUCGCGUCGGCCGUGAAACCUGCAGCUUAACUGUGGGCGUGCGGUCGAUACGGGCAUCACUGGAGUUCGGCAGGGGAGACUGGAAUCCUGGUGUAGCGGUGAAAUGCGCAGAUAUCAGGAGGAACACCGGUGGCGAAGGCGGGUCUCUGGGCCGUAACUGACGCUGGAGGAGCGAAAGCGUGGGGAGCGAACAGG